CUUUUGGAUUGAAGAUUGUCAGCGCCCGGUCACAUUCCGAACCCGGAAGCUAAGCCUCUCAGCGCCGAUGGUACUGCAAGGGGGACCUUGUGGGAGAGUAGGACGCCGCCGGACU
rnacentral:rRNA from 1 species